rnacentral:RNase_P_RNA from 1 species
CGAGCUCGCCAGACAGUCGCCGCCGGUUGAUCCGGGGGAGGAAAGUCCGGGCUCCGCAGGGCAAGGUGCCAGGUAACGCCUGGGCGGCGUGAGCCGACGGAAAGUGCAACAGAAAGUAUACCGCCUAAGCGCUUUCGGGCGCCGGUAAGGUUGAAAUGGUGCGGUAAGAGCGCACCAGGCUUCUGGUGACAGAAGUCGUUAGUGUAAACCCCACCGGGAGCAAGACCAAAUAGGCAUAGAUUU